GUGAUCUUUUUCUCAAGUGGUAUCCCUUACAAACGUAUAACAGCAAAAACAACCCGCUAUACACCACCAACUGCUGGUCUUAUCAAUAAGAGCCAUCCCUAUCAUUUGGAUAAGCUAAUGAUUUGACGAUUACUAGGAUGAUGGUACGAGAAGAAGAAUUUAAAAUAGAUCUUGUGUCGUACAUUACUAUGGCAAUUUGUACAAUCGGCUAGAAUCCCCACUCUCAUCCAUGGCCGGAGGAGUUACAUAUUUUGAUGGUGAUGGUGGUGGCAGUGGCGGCAGUGACAGAAGCUUCCUGCAGCUAUACAGAAGAGAUUCUACUUUUCUGGAACCAUUGAUUAUUGGUCUUGUUUCUUCAGAGCAUGAUAUGGGAGAUGUAUUUUUUGGUUCUGAUGAUGCCAAGGAUAUGAAAGAAAUAAAGUACAAGGAAGAUAUACUAGAGGGUUAUAGAAGGAAAAGAGCAAUCAAGGAUUUAAGGAGGAAAAAGAAAGGGUGGCCUUGCCUCAAGAAAUGUUUUGAGUUUUUCAAGGUUAUAUUCUGUAUCAAAUUCUAGUAUUAUAUUGAAUUUUCUUUUCUUUUUUUCCUUUAGUUUCAAUCUUUUUUGCAGCUACUAACCAUGAAUGAGUUAACAAGUUAGCUAGGGUGGUUGUUUAUGAUCUUCACUGGUGUAAUUCUAUUUGGGUUUUUGUGUUUCUUACCUGCACUUCUGUUUUAGAAAGUUAGAAAGCAAUAAAAUCUACCUUUUAAACAAA